CUGACAUCAAGCAUGAAACAACAUGUAAUGAAGCUCAAAGCAUGUCAUAGUUGCAAUCAACACUCCAAUUUCACACCAUCAAAUUUGGAUGCAGCUAUACAUCAACAUCAAUGUCUUAAGACAACACUCUUUUAUGAAGGGGUAAUAUGCACCAAGCACAACCCUUACCAACUUCAACCAUUAAUUUUAAUUAAAUGGUGAAACAUCUACACCCGACGAAUGUAUAAGAAGAUCAAACACCUCACCUUAAAGCACUAUGAAACAAGUAGUUCUAUUGGAACAAAACUCCUAAUCUUCCUAAACCUUAUUCUUGCCAUCAUGAAAAUAUAAUCAUGUAAUCUAACAUUCCUUGCACCCCACCAAAAGGGAGAAAAUCUAUAGAACUAAUGGAGCAAUAAAGCCAAAAGAAGUCAAUAACAUCUUAUGCGGCAUAGUUCAUCGAAGAAAUGCCAAAAACUCUACAUAGAGCACUGAUAGCCCAACAACAACACAAUACUUGCUUAACCCAUGUCACUAUACUUCAUUCAACAUCUCAACUAAGAAAAAUAUCCAACUAGUAAGGAUAACCUACACAUAAUAUAAGUCUUCAUCUACUGUAGUUCAGAAACUUACAUUUCAUUCUAUCAUACGAUGCACUCAAAGUACCAGACAUACAAAGUCAAGUAAAGCCAGAGCUUUCUUCAGUAAGGUCCUGAUCUCUGAGGUUGGAAAUGGGUAUAGUACCCUUUUCUGGUCUGAUAAUUGGCUGCAGGGUAAAAGCAUCUCGACCAUUGCCCCUAGUCUGCAUUCUAUAAUCCCAAAGAGGAUAGCAAAAAGUAGAACAGUCCAUGAGGCAUUGCUAAACAGAAGAUGGAUAUCUGACAUUAGAGGUAGUCUCACUGUUGGAGUUUUGGCGGAUUAUUUAAAGCUCUAGGAUUGUCUCUCUGAAAUUGAGCUACACCCCCUCACUGAAGACAGGCAUAUCUUUAGUGUAGCCCCAGAUGGAAAGUAUUCAGCUAAAACAGCUUACAAGGGCCUCUUCCUGGGUUCAUGCUCAUUUGGCCACUAUAAGCGGGUUUGGAAAACUUGGGCUCCAGCAAAAUGUCGUUUCUUCCUCUGGCUGGUGGCUCAUAACAGGUGCUGGACUGCUGACAGAUUGGAAAAAAGGGGGCUCAUUCAUCCAAGCACCUGUCCAUUAUGUGACCAAGAACCUGAAUCCAUUAACCACCUACUGGUCUCAUGUGUGUUUGCAAGGAGUUUCUGGUAUAAUCUGCUUAGAAAAUUUGGGUUGGAUAACCUUGCUCCCCAACCGGGCCUAACAUCCUUUCUGGAAUGGUGGGAGACAGCUUCUGAAACAGUUCAUGGAAUGACCAAGAACGGAUUGAGCUCUCUGAUCUCUUUGGGGGCCUGGAUGAUCUGGAAUCACCGUAAUAGAUGUGUGUUUGAUGGUCAAGCUCCCAGUCUCCCAUCUAUCCUUCGGCAGGCAGACGACGAGAGACGUCUUUGGGAAUUAGCUGGGGCCAAGGGUCUCUCCUUUUUGGCAGCCCCUCAUCUCUAGUAGUGUUUUUGAGUCCGGUUUCCAUGGAUUCUUUCGCUUAUGUGCGUUACUGGCCUCCGUAAGGAGUCAUUGCUGUAAUCUGUGGUCUAUUUUAGACCUUAUUAUCUCCUUCUUAAUAUAUUUAAGGCGCAGUUCCCCUGCGCUUUCGAGAAAAAAAAACAAAGUCAAUAAUAAUAACCCCUAAUCCUUCACACAUUUGACAAACAUAUUAAGCUGAUGUAAACACCACAUGAUCUAGGAAUAGGUGACUAGCCACACCCAACCAACUCUAGGCUAGGCAAGGACUUCCUUCAAACCAAUAGAUAGGUGGUCUAAAAAAAAUGGCUCCACAAGCAUGCAUCGAAAAGGGAACCAUCAGAUCCUCAAUGUAUCAAUACAUAAUCAAUGGAUCAAGAGAAUCAAAGAUUUAUUCUACAAUUAGUAUGACUAACAGGCAACCACUUUAAACCACAUCUAGGCUUUGUGGCAACUAAAACACACAAUAUGAGAGAGACAUGUAAGCCAUUCUGGCUAUGAAAAGACUUCCCCCAAAAAUCCAUAUAAAGUACCAAUAUUCAUUUCUUUCAAAACUGGUUUCUCAACAUAAACAAUCAUUCUUUGCAAUGAUAGUUGGAGCUAUCCACCAACCGCUCAACAACUUAAAUUCAAAUUGAUGAUUACCUUGUACCCCAAAACACGCAAUUCACACUCCUCUUAGAAACAUCCACAAUCAAGCAUAUAUAACAAUAUUAUUGUAAUAAAACUCAACCAUGAAAAACAUGGUGAAAACAACAUAGGCAUACUUGUAUAUCACAAGCAUAAUAAUAACUUUAUUCUCACCAAUGACCAGCGAUAUCUACCGCAUUAAUAAAACAAUAUCAAAAUUUCAGAAAUAAAUUAUAUCAAGCAUUAAGCCAUAAACAACUUACCACAUCACCGUAAAGGAAUAGGGAGGGGUGAAACUAUUGUCAUCUGCACUCCAAAGACAUUAAUAUAUAUCAAAGAUAUUUGAACCCAUACCCUUCCUAUAUGUGCAAGUGUGUCAAAUUUAUCUUCAAAUUGCCAAGAAUCUAAAGCCUAUGCUUUGAUACCAACUAUAACACCCCGGGAUCCACAAACACCCCAGAAUGCUACUAAACUACACAUCUAAUAUUCAUAUAUAAAAUUUCGACAGCAUCUCCUUUGAAAAUUGCAUAAACGGGGAAAGCAACAAAGUAUAAAUAGAUAUCAUGAUAAGAAAACAUAUAAGACAUUAAUAAUCUGCUAGCAAUGGGAAGACAACCAUAACAACAUGAACUGAAUUAAUCAGUGCGCACGACUAGUUAAAAACAAACAUCCUUUGACAAGAAGUUUCUAAUUAAAUCAUGGCUGCGUCUGGGCAGCAUUAUUAUGAGAAUGAAGGUGGAUGUGCUGCUACUUCCCACUCCCCUUGAUGAGCAACAAGCACCUGCAUUGAGUAAUGCAAGAGUGAGAUGAAACAUCUCAGCAAGCUAAUUGUUCUGACGAGAUAUUUAAACCACAAAUUGAAUUCAUCAACAUUUUAAAAGAGUCACAAUUAAAAAUCAGAAAUGCUUGUAGAUAUAGAACUCAGUAGUCCCACUAUAACCAAUACCAUCUCAUUUCCUCGAACAACCACAAUAGGUUCUAUAACACUUCCCUGCGUCAACAAUACCUGCAAAUAUCACUUCAAUGUAUGCAUAGGAAUGCAAUGUGUAGGUACUCUAUCUUCAUACCUCUGGGGGUAUAAAACCACAUCAUCUGCAAAUAUCACUUCAAUGAAUGCAUAUGAAUGCAAUGCAUAUGUCCUCUGCCUUCAUACCUCUAAGGGUAUGAAGCCGCAUCGUACCCCUUCUCGGGCAACGUACGAUGCUAAGUUGUACCGGUACGGUCGGACCAUAGGUCACGACAAAACUUCAUAUGCAAAUGAGUCAUGCAAUGUAUAUGGCAUGCUACAUUUAUCAAUAAACUUCACUUCCUUCAGAUACAACACAAACCUCAAAUAAUACUUCAUUUACCUUCAGAUACAAUACCAACCUCAAAUAAUACUUCAUUUACCUUCAGGGGUGUGAAUUAAUCUCAUGAGUCAUACUCAAAUCAUAAUCAUCAUCAAUAUAUGAUUGAGCAUCAGUAUAAUGCAAGCAAGUAAAGCAUCACCAUAGAGUCCAAUUAUGAAAGAAUCUGAUACUUCUGAAUAUUAGAGUGUAGGCGAUAGAAAUAACAGGUCAGAACGGAAGCAACCACCGCUACAUUCACUUGCCUUCAUCGAAGAAGAAGAAAUGUACUAGAC
rnacentral:lncRNA from 1 species